UCUGGUGUCGAUAGCGAAGAGGUCACACCCGUUCCCAUACCGAACACGGAAGUUAAGCUCUUUAGCGCCAAUGGUAGUUGGGACUUUGUCCCUGUGAGAGUAGGACGUUGCCAGGC
rnacentral:rRNA from 3 species